GCUCAGGAUGAACGCUAGCUACAGGCUUAACACAUGCAAGUCGAGGGGUAGCAGGGUAGCAAUACCGCUGACGACCGGCGCACGGGUGAGUAACACGUAUCCAACCUUCCCAUUACUCGGGGAUAGCCUUUCGAAAGAAAGAUUAAUACCCGAUAGUACUUUUUCGAGGCAUCUCGUAAAAAGUUAAAGAUUUAUUGGUAAUGGAUGGGGAUGCGUUCCAUUAGAUUGUUGGUGAGGUAACGGCUCACCAAGUCUUCGAUGGAUAGGGGUUCUGAGAGGAAGGUCCCCCACAUUGGUACUGAGACACGGACCAAACUCCUACGGGAGGCAGCAGUGAGGAAUAUUGGUCAAUGGGCGAGAGCCUGAACCAGCCA
rnacentral:rRNA from 1 species